GGAGCGUGAAAGAACAGGAGUGUGUGCUGACCUGUCCCAAGAUACAAUACAAGAACAGCCUUCUAGACAAGCAGCAAACAGGUUGCCUGAUGACUGCAUUCUUUAUCUGAUUGCAUGUAUGGUAUAUAUAUGGAUAUUGCAAUAAAGGAGUUGUAGAAGCGUCACAAAACUCUCGCAUUGUAUCGUCCUUCCUGCACUGGACGCGGCAAGUGGUGCCCCAUGUGAGGAGCUCAGCCUUUGACUUCAGGGUGACAAACAACAGGCAGCUCGACGGAGGGUCCUCUUGGGAUUCCUAUGUGCUCUGUAAAGCCAUACCGUGAGCUGGAAAGAUCAGCCUCUUCAACCCAAUUCCACAGGCAGAGUAUCUGGCCAUCAACGGUAACUCAACAAAAAUACAGCGGCGAUCCCAAAGGCAAAGACAGAACCCUUGCUGCCUGCUUCACUGAUGACUGCCUCAGUUGUCACCCACAUUGAUUUAAACAAAAAAGUGGGAAAUGGAGCUGCGCUGAGAGACAGCUGGUUUCUUAAUUAAAAUUGUUAAGCAUAACAAACUAACAUAAAAGAAAAACAACGUAUGAUCAAAGCACAGCAAACUAACAGAAAAACAAUGCAUGAUAUUAAUUCUUAAGGAUCAAAGCAUGACGAGGGUCAGGUCAGCAGCUGGGGUUUGACUGUGGAAGAGUGGGUGGAACACCACCUUGGGCAAAUGCCAGAAAGGACAGGACUGAAAACAGUCACACUGCGUGCAAGGAGCGUGAAAGAAUAGGAGUGUGUGCUGACCUGUCCCAAGAUAUAACACAAGAACAGCCUUCUAGACAAGCAGCAAACAGGUUGCCUGAUGACUGUAUUCUUUAUCUGACUGCAUGUAUGGUAUAUAUAUGGAUAUUGCAAUAAAGGAGUUGUAGAAGCAUCAGAGAACUCCUGCAUUGUAUCAUCCUUCCUGCACUGGACGUGGCAUCAGCUCUCUCCAGAGAGACAGCAGCGGGUGCACGUGCUGAGGACUUAACAUGUAUCUGCCCAAGAGGAAUUUGCUCCUAAGUCACAUAUUUAUUAUUCUAUAAACCUAGCAGAAGGCACACCGUGAUACUGACAUUUCUCUGUGAUACUGAGCAGCUGCCACAGUUGUUUUGGCACAGAAUGAGCCGCAGAAAGCUGGGCCAUCAGGGCACCCACAGCUCCUAUUUAUUUCCACUGUGGGAGACAUGAUCAUAACAAUUUUAAUGAUCAGAGAAAAGGGUGUAGGAGAAAGCCUGGGAAUUCACCACACAGAAAGGGAAGAUGCAAGGUGAUGCCCACAGACAGGCUGCAAAACAGUCCUUUGAUGAACAUGGAGAUGCUGAACGCAGCUCUGCUGCCUUCUGCCCUUUGGGGUACAAUCACAGAAACAAGGAACGAUUUUGUUCACAGCAAACAAAACCCAAGCAAAUAAAACACAUUCCCAGUCCAGCAAGACGGAAGAGAGAAGCAUUUGGCUGUGUGCUAAUGAGGGAGCAGUGGAGACUUCAGCCAACAGCAGAGAACAAUUAAUUUUUACUGGAAAUAUCAGAACGUCAGAUGCUGAAAUACCAAAGCUUUGGAGAUGCGCGUGCCUUGGAUAUUGAUUUUCUUGUUACCUCUAUGUAGUUGAGUGCAGACAAGGGCAUGAGUUAAUCCAUUGCUAAACAUACUUCUAAAUCUCAUUCCUUUCCUCCCAGCUUUAGGAGCUAGGCCUGCAACAAAGGCGUCACUUCCUCACUUUCCAUCCUGAAGAUUAUAAUCUCAGUCCAAAGUGAAUAACUUUUAAUUCCCCAAAGUGCUCAGCAGCUAAUUGACAGCUUCCAGCACCACAGUACAGGCUAGCCAAGUGGGCUGCAAUGAUCUGGGAUGGGGAAAGUGGCUUAAAGAGGAUGUUCCAUUGCAACACUGCAUUCCAUUCCAACCCCUGGGAUGAGCAGCAAUAGCAUUCUUAUGGGCUUCCCCACUGCCAUGUCCUGCAGUAGCCUGCUGUUUUGGGACACAGUCCACCACCUGUUUUUACUUCGGACCCAAAGUAAGUAAAUUAUUUCUUCCUGUCAUUUAACUUCACAGUGGCUAUAAAUCUUAACUGAAAGACCAAGGUGCAGCACCAGGCAGCCUGCUGGCACAAAGCACAGGUGGCCCAGAGAAGCUGCAGAGGGAGUAGGAGCAGGGCAGCAAAUGAGGCGGGCAGCCCAGCAGCCAUCCUCCGCCAGCCCUUUUCUUGGCUGGGGGAGAAGGAUACUCUGCUUGCUACAACACAGCCCAACAUUCAGAGGAUCCCAAUUUUAGCAUCUGCCCCAGGCCUCCCACAACCUCUAGCACAACAUUUCAAAUUGUGUUAGUUUGGGAAAGAAGCAAACAAAAUUAGUGUGGGAAUUUUUGCUUUGUUUUUCUUUCUUCCCCUCAGGUGAUGCUCAAAAUAGAAAGCAAACAAAUGUCACUGCUGAUACACACAGCCCCCAAGGCAGCAAUGAGAUGCACAGGCACUGCCUGGCCCCUGUGCUUGAUCAUGACUCUGAUCUCCCAUCACCCCCGACAUUUUCAGGAGAGAAAAAAUGGCUCUUCUGGCUUUUUUUGAAGAUCAGAUUACGGAAGAUAAUCAAACACCUUCCCACUUGCACGCAGAUCCACUCGGUGAAUAACAAGAAUACCGGUAAUGGUUCGUUCUCAGUUUUUCAUCACUUUCUUUUCCCCAAUCGCCUGUGUAAUUUGCUCUGUCUGGCUAUUUCAAAGCACAUCUUUAUUAUGUCCUUUUACUCUAUUCAGAUCACCAUCUGUUUGUUUCAUUAGCAGUCUCACUUGAGUAGCGUGUAUUUAGCAGGGCAUUCAACACUCAAAAAUCAGAAGCCUUGGAAUCAACGUAAUCAAUUGGAAAAUGACAAAGUGCUAUUCCACAGCAUUUUUCAGAAACUGGUCUAAAAGCAAAAAGAGCCAAUUUCUUGAUUCUUUGCACUUCUCUUUUACCUUUAACUGAGAAUCACUAGCCUACUUGCAGACCGAACAAGAGCAAAUGCUUCCCGCAUUUCAAAGACAGGCUGUUAAGUAAUCAGGCUAAUCCUCCAUCGGCUCACUUAUUUAUCUGAGUGCUCAGCACUCAGCAAAGAACACCACCCCAGAAUAGCCAGCCCCUUCUGUCCCUCCUUCACUGGGAUAAAAUCUAGCAGAGAUUGCUCUAGGUUAGCAGUUCACAGGCCAGCUCACGUUUGAUUAACGAGAGGGCCGUCACACAGCUGAAAUCGAAAAAUACACAAUGCCAUAAAAUAAGCAAGCUUAAAAGGGGGUGCGUUUUUCAGCCACAGUGCCAGUGCCACACAGAAGACAAAGGAUCAUUUUUCACAUCUCCACCAGGGAGGCCAAGGUUGCUGGGACAUGAUGGCAACUCAUUGAUCUAGGAAAAGAUCUGACUCAUUUCUCGUUGACCCAGAGAGAGAGCAAUGAAUUCAGCUUCAUGUCUGUGUGCCCCCUUGUUAUGUAGUGCAGGAUUAAAAACAAGCCGAGCCUGAGAAGGAAAAGGAGACUAUUGCAUUGCAUUUGAUUAUAUUGGAUUGCAUUUGAUUAGUGUGUGAGAUGAGGGCAGCAUGACUGCUGGGAAAAAGAAGAGAUCAGGCAGAUGAGAAGCAUGAAGUGGCACACAGUGAUUUGUUUCUUCACUGGGCCAUUAACUCAGCAGUAACCACCUCAGAUGUUUUAUUGUUUUAGAUCCUGGAUUUGAAAGGUUCUUCCUUAGGAUGUGACUCCUAGACUCACCAGACCACAACCGAAGCUGUAAUUUCCUACUGGAUAAAACAAGACACUUGAAAAACACAAACACAUCGUAACUAAUAGACUGAUAAUUUGCAUGAAUCCAGUCUUCUUACAGAGUAUGCUAUUACUUCUAUCUGCACGGGCCGCUGACUACAAAAAAAUCACUGCAUUAAUAAAGAUGUGCCUCAACUCAACCUCCGGGAACGUCUGGUGUUACCAAGCCACUGCUCAUGUACUUCUAGGGAGAGACUUCUCCAAACUGCUGCCUCCGAAAAGACACUCACCUAUUCCCACUGGCUGCCUAAAGGCACAAGAAACAGGAGAUCUCUCGUGGGACAGGAAAGCCCAGCAGCCAAUCAAGCCACAGCAGCGCAGAAACCCACACCAGCUCCCUGGCUGCAAGCCAGUGGACAAAACUCACACAAGAUCAUCUCAUCCCCAUAUGCAAUAGAAUCGUUGGCAGAUGUUGGACUGUGAGAAUAUCCCAGAAAAGUUCAGUGAUGGCCUUUAACUGCUUGAACGGACUUCCAAAGCCAAAGCAGUCAAGUUGGCAGAUGUAAAAGGACAGCAAGGGCAGACUGCAGUCCUCAGACUGCAUGCGUGCUGAAACACCAGCUGCUCACCAAAGGGCAGCACCACGCAAAGUUGACAGAAGAGAUCUAUCCAGGGGUCCCAGUAAGACAAUAAAUGCUUCAAGGUCCCUUUGUUAAACUUUCAGACUAAACAGAGAUGAGGGCAGACAGACCCCACGACACUACCCUAGCAGUCGAGAGCAGUGGGGAAAAGCCUCCACUGCCCUCCAUGACCCUUUGCAGGGACCACUCAGUUGAUGGCCACUCAACAGAGACCGCGGUAUACACUCAGUUCCUGAUGACAUUUCAUGUUUAACAGUAAAAGCUCCAAGCUUUUGUUUAGCUGAUGACGCAGCCUUAAUGUCACCUAAAUCUUUAUUUUUAACUCCCCUUCACUUCCUCUCCAUUCCCUUUGGAUCUGUCACAGUCCAUUUGGUGAAGAUGAACUGUGUUGCUUCUGUGCUUGGCUCCCAUAAAUGUGGUGAAGGGCUUCCCGACUGGCUUACCUCUGGGGCUGGCUACCAUCCUCAGUCACUGGAAGAGGGAGAAGACCAAAGCCUUUGAUGGGAAAAUAUCCAGCAGUUCACGAUCUCCUCUUACACUGAUCUUGUCUCAGUGACCUGAAAACUAAAAAUCCUUGAAAUUAUUAAUCACUUAAAGGUUUUCUCACUUCAGAAGCAGGGCAGCAGGUCAAAACCACUCACAAAAGUCAACUCAGUGGGACAAGGGAUGAACCUGUUACAGACUGUGCAAGCUCAGUUCUGACUCAGCUUCCACUGAAAAAGAAAAAAAAAACUUCUUCAAAACGGUGUGAAAUCCUCAGGCGCGCCUAUACUGUUGAGCCUCAAGAAACUCAGUCAACAUGGCCAACAUCUCAAGCUGCUGGUACCACAUGGUAUGCUAUGGACUGAGUGCUGGGCCUCGCUGCUGGCUGCUCCACAGGGCCCUCUCUGACACACCAAUCCCCACAGCAGCUCCCAGGCCACGCGGGGUCUCACCACACGCCCCCAAGGAAAAACCAAGGGCAAAGGCAACUUCUGCCAUGCUGUGACCAGCAGCUAGCAGCACUAUGAGCUUCCAGCUGCCUUCUUUCCCAUCACCCCAGCCAGAUCCUUGCCCCAUAAGACCUUGCAUUAGGUGUGACAUCUCCAUGACUCCUUCCCACCUGAGGCAGCUGCCCAAAGCUCACACUGCUGUGCACCAAGCUUUUCUAUACUAGAAACAGAGAUCCUCUGCUUGCUCUAUCAGAUUAAUACAAAAAAUGUUGCCAGCAUAGGGGCAGACCCUUAAUAAUGAAUAAUACUUGCAACGUAGGCUUGUUUAACAAAAGGAAGGGUUAAUGUAUGACUGAGGCUGUCAGUAGAUAUUAGGGGAAACACCCAUCACAUCUCCAAGUUCCUGUCUGCUUCCACUGACUUUAAAGCAGAAUGUAUUUUGGAUAGUAUUAAAGUAGUUGGGCUCAUUAAAUGUUUAUGGUUUUUCUUUGUCUUUUGCAGACCACGGAUUUUUUUCUUCCUUUGGUCACCAUCACCGUGAGAAAUUAGCUCCUAAACUCUUAUUAAUUUUUUGCUGGUAGCCUUUAAUGGCCUUACACUUACAAGGCAUCCCAUUUAUCUGGCGACCGCCAGGCCAUGAAGGCACCAGGGCUCUCCCCCCAUGCCUCUUCCUCCAAGCACAGAUAAGAGCACAGUGAUUUUAAAAGCAAGACAUGAGAUGAAAGUGCCCGCUUCAGAUCAGACACUGCUGCCAUUCCAUAAUUAACUUUGCCUAUAUUUUCAAAGGAAGAAAAAAACAUCCAGAAAUCAUUUCAAACCACUCUCCCCCAUGUUAGCAUUCUCAUUCUCAAUACUAGUAUCAAUAAAAGAAAGUGGGGACUUUCUUCUUUUUCUUAAAUAAUAUUACCAAGUCACCUUCAAAGCACUAUCUUGAGAUCAUUUUUCAAAUGUCAGCAUAAAAGGCAGCCAGGUCGCUCUCUUCUCUCUGCAGUUUCUCUUAUCGCUUUGGGCUACUUAUACGCUCAGGUUGAAAAAGACACCUCUCAUUCCUAUCUCCCCCUGCUCCGUUCCCAACUGCGUAAAGCAAAAAAUCACUGUCAGUCAUCUGACAAGGUGUUUCUACAGCCCCCCACACCCAUACUCCUACCCUUCACACACUGAACUGGCAAGCUGCAUCUUUACACCAGCAUUACUUACGACAACCACUUUCAAUAAACCCUGGGUCCUUUCUGGGAGACAUUCACAGGCCACAUAUUUGUUGAUCUGUAGAAACCUACAGAAAUACCUACUCGAGAUUAAGCAGAAACUUACUGUAGAGCAGAAGCUUCCACACACUGAGCUACACAGAAUAACUGAUUCAGUAAGUCUGCAAAUAUAAAUAAUGCAAACAAGUACCUAGAGGUUAGAAGAAAACAUGGAAUUCAAAUCUUAGUUUCUAUUGCUGCCCUAAUUUUUACAAAAAAGAAGAGAACUUGAAAGAGUUACCUGCAGGUGCUGACUCUCUUUCGUCUUUUUUCUUAAAUGUGCAAGCAAAAUUGAAUGGAUUCAGCGGAUUAUAAAUGGGUGGGUAAAACAGCGCUUCCGAAUGGUCAGGAGGCUGCAUCUUGGAAGAUGACAGUUUGGUUAUUCUCAAAACUAUCUUGGUGUCUGUCCGUGUUUCAGGUGUUCUCACUUACAAAACAGUGCAAGUCUUCCUCCUGCCCCUGCAAUGAAGAAAAAGGAAGCGGAGUUAGCUGUUAAGAGUAACCAGAGUGGUUAGCUGCUUGAGAAACAUGACUUCAACAAAGCAAAUGAUAUUUAUCUAUUUUCCUGAAGGAAGGUGACAAUCAUUCCAGAAUUACAUUCACAUAUUUCAGGUAUCAGAUACCAGGGAGCCCAACUUGUGCUACGAAAGCCCCAACCGCCAUUGCUUUUAGCUGUGACUUCAGUCUCAGCACCAGGCCCUCUGGGGCUCAUGGCAUAGGAACUUCCAUGCCUGGCCAGGCAGUUUCUAGAGACCGGCUUCUCUAAUGAACAUCUGCUGCAUCUCUCAGGUGGGUGUGUUCCUCUAUUUCUGCAGAAGCUCAUUUAUAGCAUUAUCUACGUAAUCCAUGCCUGAACCAGCAUAUCUAACACAACACCUUGAAAGCAGGUAUUAAAGCCAGCUCCAUUACCUCUGAAGCAGGGCAUCUUCUAAAUCCACUUUGGAUAAUUCAUUGGUUCUGCUAACUCCUCUGCUCUGCACAGCCUACCAAGGGAUAACAAUAAAUGCAGCUCUUGCCUUUGCAUCACAUUUGGGUAAACAGAAACCAGCAAAAGAACAACUAAUUAUCAAUGAUGUUCCUAAGGUUGCAAACACAUUUACCAUGCAGCACUUAAAUAUCUUUUCUUCAGGUACAACAGGUGGAAUAGAAACGAAACACAAGUUGGAAACACCAGUUAUCAUCAAAAGUAGGGGGAAAAAAAACUUCCACACAGAACACCACACUGGAAAGGCAGCCUUCCCCACUGUGAAGAAAUCCUCUCAAAUGUACCCAGCUAAUUCCUUGUGACUUCGAUCACAAUAGCUUCAAUAAGCAGAUCUAUGCUGCUAAAACAAGAGACCGUGGUAUACAGCAAAGGCCGUAUGAAGAACAUUGCUCCUCUCUGGAAAGUACUGCACAGUAAAUUCUGGGUCUCUCAUUGCGUAUUCAGCAGUGACAAGAGAUAAAAUUAUCUCUGAUGUGAAAAAUUUAGGUCUCUCCUCCUUCCUAACAGUUACUAGCACGGAAGUGUAGGACUUCCACGGGUUACACCUGUAUUGACAAACAAACCAUACAUUCUUUCUCCUACUCCACACCUGUGCAAACAAGAGCUAUUUGAAUGCAUUGUUGGGCAAACAGCAUUUUCUAAGAUAACCCUGUCACAAACAAAUGAGAAGAAAAAUCUGCUGUCAAAUACAACAUCAUACUUCUUCAUCACUGUGCUGUGACAUGAUUCGCAUUUGUCAAGGAAACAGCAAGUAUUCCAAAUAACUGUGAUAGACCACUCACUCAUUCCAUCAAACUGACACUGCCAGAAUGCUGUUCUAGAAAUGAGCUGUUUUGGAUCAAACUGACUAUUACCUCUAUUGUUCUUAUACUGAUGAAGUCUCUUCUACUUUUGUACUGAGGAAUGAUCAUGGUUUUAAUUCGAAGGAGUUGCAGGCUGUGGUAUCAAGGAAUUAGGGUUUUUUUUGUUUUGUUUUUACUUCAAAAUGACUGGUAUGAAUUAAACUCAGGCGAGAACUACUUUAAAAAUUACUUACCUGUAUAGCAGUUGUUGGGAAGAGUAUAGGAACUGAUGGUCCCAAACCAAUCCUCAGUGAAAGAAGUCUUCUGCAUGGUAUCCCUUACCAAACUGUAAUACUGAAACACUUCGGGCACAUUUCCACAGAAAUGCUAAGGGCCGGAUCUGCCACAAAACUGCACUGCCUACUCAUCUGCAGCACUUCCCUCAACCUAAGGCGUACUGUUGGGACUUUGGGAAGCAGAGCACCACGUUACAGUUCAGUUCUUCACAUUAUGUUUUGUGAAUAAACAGAAAAUUUAAGUCACUAGAGAUCAAUACAGCACUUUUCUAAAGGGCUUUAUGCAAUAUGCAUACCCUCAACUUUGCUAUGAGAAACACACUUGAAGAGCUGAGAAAUUCUACAUGAAGACGCCUUUACUUCAAGUAAUAACAGCACUUCAUUUUGGACUAUAGCUCCCCAAAAGGUGGAAAGCCUCUUAGCUCCCUCACCAGUAGAUAACAGGCUGAAAGAUUAGAAGACUGCUACAAAUCAGCAAAAAAAAGAUGCCAUGAAAUCACUGCUGAAAUAAACCACGUAUUUAAUUUC